AUAGCUAUUUUAAUCGAAGAAAUAUGUUACGGAAACAUUUCUCCUAAACCAAGUGAUUUUCAUUCGCUGGUAAACGAAAUUUGCUCCGUUUUUCCUAGUGAAGUAGAUACAAAGGAAUAUUACUAUAUUCCCCGAACUGGAAAAAAAAAUCCGAGUGGAAAACUAUUCUAUAAAUACGUGAACUGCCGCAAGGGCAAAAAAGGUCCCAUAAUAUGCCUCACAAUGAAGAAAACAAUAUGCAGCAAUGUACUGAAGAACUCGACAAUUCCAUUAUCAGCGCUUUAAAGUUGUAGCUCAGCAAGGAGAGCGCAGAUUGGAAAGAAAUUUUGGAUAAGUGGGCUAAAACUUUUUCAGCCAGGCAAAAAGACUUGAAGAACUUGGCAAGUUUCGACUUGUUAAAAGCCUGGCCGAAAUUGGCCGAUGCACGGGCACCUGAGCUGAUUAAAAUUGACUUCGAUCUUUUGUACCCAUUGAAGCAAGAUUCUUUGCACUCUAAGUGGGACCACUUUAAAAGGAAUAUUGUGCGCUUUUAUGAAACAAACAUAAAUGAUGACAAUUGUAAGCAGUUAUUUUCGUUGGCAAAAUCAUUGACAAAUAAAGAUUCCCAGGAUUACUUACUCUUACACAUCGGUAUCAGUGAUCGGAC